UACGUAGGGUGCAAGCGUUGUCCGGAAUUAUUGGGCGUAAAGAGCUCGUAGGCGGCUUGUCACGUCGAUUGUGAAAGCCCGAGGCUUAACCUCGGGUCUGCAGUCGAUACGGGCUAGCUAGAGUGUGGUAGGGGAGACUGGAAUUCCUGGUGUAGCGGUGAAAUGCGCAGAUAUCAGGAGGAACACCGGUGGCGAAGGCGGGUCUCUGGGCAACAACUGACGCUGAGGAGCGAAAGCGUGGGGAGCGAACAGG
rnacentral:rRNA from 1 species